GGCUCGCAGGCGGUUUCUUAAGUCUGAUGUGAAAGCCCCCGGCUCAACCGGGGAGGGUCAUUGGAAACUGGGAAACUUGAGUGCAGAAGAGGAGAGUGGAAUUCCACGUGUAGCGGUGAAAUGCGUAGAGAUGUGGAGGAACACCAGUGGCGAAGGCGACUCUCUGGUCUGUAACUGACGCUGAGGAGCGAAAGCGUGGGGAGCGAACAGGAUUAGAUACCCUGGUAGUCCACGCCGUAAACGAUGAGUGCUAAGUGUUAGGGGGUUUCCGCCCCUUAGUGCUGCAGCUAACGCAUUAAGCACUCCGCCUGGGGAGUACGGUCGCAAGACUGAAACUCAAAGGAAUUGACGGGGGCCCGCACAAGCGGUGGAGCAUGUGGUUUAAUUCGAAGCAACGCGAAGAACCUUACCAGGUCUUGACAUCCUCUGACAACCCUAGAGAUAGGGCUUUCCCUUCGGGGACAGAGUGACAGGUGGUGCAUGGUUGUCGUCAGCUCGUGUCGUGAGAUGUUGGGUUAAGUCCCGCAACGAGCGCAACCCUUGAUCUUAGUUGCCAGCAUUUAGUUGGGCAC
rnacentral:rRNA from 1 species